rnacentral:lncRNA from 1 species
CCAAGAGACCCAAGAAACCUCUGUAAACUAUCCGUAAUAACUAUCUCAUCAUUCUCUAAAAUAUAGGUUCCAUUACAAAGCUAAACAUGGUUUACAUCAAAAUUUCUCAAUAUAGAAACAACAGUAACCUUCUUUACUAAAUUUUCACUGUAAGCUCCAAUGUGUAGCAACACUAUCUCCUUCUUUCUUUUAUACAUUUGAUCUGCUGAAUAUAUUAUUACUAUAUAUAUAUGUAUAUAUAACCCAUUAACACUUAAUUUUUUGUUUGAUCUUCAAUUGGUUUAUCAUAAUUAGAGCAUGCAAGGAGAAUUUCUCAUAGGUUUUUAUCUAUAAUCCUCACAAUACUCUCAAAAAAUC